rnacentral:rRNA from 1 species
UGGGGAAUAUUGGACAAUGGGGGAAACCCUGAUCCAGCGAUGCCGCGUGUGUGAAGAAGGCCUGCGGGUUGUAAAGCACUUUCAGUAGGGAAGAAAUCCCGAGAGAUAAUACCUCUCGGGUUUGACGUUACUUACAGAAGAAGCACCGGCUAACUCCGUGCCAGCAGCCGCGGUAACACGGAGGGUGCGAGCGUUAAUCGGAAUUACUGGGCGUAAAGCGCGCGUAGGCGGCCAUGUAAGUCGGGUGUGAAAUCCCUGGGCUCAACCUGGGAAUUGCAUUCGAUACUGCCUGGCUGGAGUAUGGUAGAGGGUAGUGGAAUUCCGGGUGUAGCGGUGAAAUGCGUAGAUAUCCGGAGGAACACCAGUGGCGAAGGCGGCUACCUGGACCAAUACUGACGCUGAGGCGCGAAAGCGUGGGGAGCAAACAGGAUUAGAUACCCUGGUAGUCCACGCCCUAAACGAUGUCAACUGGCUGUUGGGCUCUAUAAGAGCUUAGUAGCG